AACAAAGCAGAGAUGCAGCUAUUUUUUUAUCUCACCGCUUCUCAGCGCCUCGCCAACACAUUUCUGCCAGAAUAACCCGCUAUGCCGAGACAGGCUCUGAUACAGCAAGCCCCUUCUGCUCUGACAGCACUGUGCAACUCGUCCACGAAAGGGCCAUCAUUCUGAUGAGACUCGGCCAGGCUCGUCCAGAGGUGAUGGCGGGAAUGGUGGGGGGAGAACCCCUUCUGCCCUCGCCAUGAUGAGCUGUGAGGCCGUGAGGCCGGCAGCUAUCAGAUCGUCGGACACCAUCUGUGGCCCCAGCAUCACCCAGCCGUGACUCACCCUUGAAUUGACUGUUUGAUUGGUGUUUAAAGCAGCAGUAAGUAAACUGGGAGAGCAAUUAUUUGAGUUUCAUUGGUGAGGAAUGGCCUAGCCAUACAUUAGCUAUUAGUGAGGGAACGUGCUGGGAGAAUAACCGUUUUGAGUUCACUGUGCCUGCCUCUGUACGAGCCAAUUUCGAUUUCAGACCUCACCUGUCAAUCACAGAUGCUUGAAAUGCAACACUUCUCAAUGGCGGAGUAACAAAGAGAGGCAGGGAGUAGAAGGGGGAAGGGACUAUUCUGCUCCCUCUGUACAACUUUUAAAUCGUACCCAAAGCAGCAUUAAUUAUCAUCUAUAUUACAUCUAUUUUACAGUUGGACUUUUGCUGCUGUAACAUCUGAAUUUUCCCUCAGGAUUAAUACAGUGUGCUUUGUUUGUUUGUCAGCUUGGUUUGCUUUUGUUAUCAGCACUUGCGGAUAAUUGGUGCUUGUAAUUGGGGGUAUCCUCGUUAAAGGGUCAUGGUCACAUUGGUGAAUGAGUAAAUAUUGACGUGGGAAGAGGCAACCAAGUGCUCACUCUAAAUCUAUAUUCAUUGUCAACCUUUUUUUAUUUUAUAAAUGGUACCAUAAACAACUUAAUCUAAUGAGACUCUCUGGAAAUCCACCUUAUUAUGACUUCAUUGCAAUGGAAGGUGUAGUCAACAAUUUGAUUUGCAUCCUUUAGUGUUUUUUUCUUUCUCUCUUGGAGCAGCUGAUUCUCACUUUAAUUGUUUUGUGUAGGAAUAAACACUCCAGAGUCCUGUCUGUAGCUUGUGCUCAUACUAAUUGGGAAAAAUGUGGAACUCGCACUUUGACGCAAAGCCAAACACCCGCCCGCUAAGUGAACGAUUCAGUUUUAAUGAAGCGGUGCAGCUAAUACUUGAAACAAGAAGGUGAGUUCAUGUCCCCAUGAGUAGGAGCUC
ensembl:lncRNA